GACGAACGCUGGCGGCGUGCUUAACACAUGCAAGUCGAACGGAAAGGCCCUGCCUUUGGGCGGUGCUCGAGGGGCGAACGGGUGAGUAACACGUGAGUAACCUGCCCUUGACUGAGGGAUAACUUCAGGAAACUGGGGCUAAUACCGGAUAGGAGCUCCUGCUGCAUGGUGGGGGUUGGAAAGUUUCGGCGGUUGGGGAUGGACUCGCGGCUUAUCGGCUUGUUGGUGGGGUAGUGGCUUACCAAGGCUUGGAAGGGUAGCCGGCCUGAGAGGGUGACCGGCCACGUUGGGCUUGAACUACGACCCAGACUCCUACGGGACGCAGCGGUGGAGAAUAUUGCACAAUGGGCGGAAGCCUGGUGCAGCACCGCCGCGUGCGGGAUGACGGCCUUCGCGUAGUAUACCGCUUUCGCCUGUGACGAAGCGUGAAUGACGGUACUGGGUAAAGAAGCACCGGCUAACUACGUG
rnacentral:rRNA from 1 species